rnacentral:tRNA from 1 species
GGGGGUAUUGCUCAAUGGUAAAGCACUUGCCUAGCAUGCAUGAGGCCUUGGGUUCAAUCCCAAGCAACACCU